UUACAGCCAUAUCACGUUGAAACAUCAGUUCUCGUCCGAUCACAUAAAAUUAAGCAAUGUCGAGCCUGAUCAGUACCUAGAUAGGUGACCGCUGGGGAAUACCAGAUGCUGUUA